rnacentral:rRNA from 1 species
GACGAACGCUGGCGGCGUGCUUAACACAUGCAAGUCGAACGAGACGAUUGAAAGCUUGCUUUCGAAAGUCGAGUGGCAAACGGGUGAGUAACGCGUAGACAACCUGCCUUCGAGAUGGGGACAACAGUUCGAAAGGACUGCUAAUACCGAAUGUUGUAUAUUUUCCACAUGGAAGAUAUAUUAAAGAUGGCCUCUAUUUAUAAGCUAUCGCUCAAAGAUGGGUCUGCGUCUGAUUAGCUGGUUGGUGGGGUAACGGCCUACCAAGGCGACGAUCAGAAGCCGGUCUGAGAGGAUGAACGGCCACAUUGGGACUGAGACACGGCCCAGACUCCUACGGGAGGCAGCAGUGGGGAAUCUUCCACAAUGGACGAAAGUCUGAUGGAGCAACGCCGCGUGAGUGAAGAAGGGUUUCGGCUCGUAAAGCUCUGUUGUCGGGGACGAAUGUGCAGUAUUUGAAUAAAGUAGUGCAGUGACGGUACCUGACGAGGAAGCCACGGCUAACUACGUGCCAGCAGCCGCCGUAA